AUUGAACGCUGGCGGCAGGCCUAACACAUGCAAGUCGAGCGGGGUUUUCGGACCUAGCGGCGGACGGGUGAGUAAUGCGUAGGAAGCUACCCGAUAGAGGGGGAUACCAGUUGGAAACGACUGUUAAUACCGCAUAAUGUCUACGGACCAAAGUGUGGGACCUUCGGGCCACAUGCUAUCGGAUGCGCCUACGUGGGAUUAGCUAGUUGGUGAGGUAAUGGCUCACCAAGGCGACGAUCUCUAGCUGGUUUGAGAGGAUGAUCAGCCGCACUGGAACUGAGACACGGUCCAGACUCCUACGGGAGGCAGCAGUGGGGAAUAUUGGACAAUGGGCGCAAGCCUGAUCCAGCCAUGCCGCGUGUGUGAAGAAGGCCUUCGGGUUGUAAAGCACUUUCAGCGAGGAGGAAGAGUUGUGUGUUAAUAGUACACAGCUUUGACGUUACUCGCAGAAGAAGCACCGGCUAACUCUGUGCCAGCAGCCGCGGUAAUACAGAGGGUGCAAGCGUUAAUCGGAAUUACUGGGCGUAAAGCGCACGUAGGCGGUUUUUUAAGUCAGAUGUGAAAGCCCCGGGCUCAACCUGGGAAUUGCAUUUGAAACUGGAAAACUAGAGUGUGUGAGAGGGGGGUAGAA
rnacentral:rRNA from 1 species